AAGAGGAAGAAAUGGCUGGUUCUCAG
rnacentral:miRNA from 1 species